CACCAAAUGCAAUCUAAAUGGUUACUUGCAAGAUUUGACUCUUUGGAAUUGGCCUUGCAUCUUGAGAUUUUUACCACAAAAUUGAACAAUGGCCCCCUACAUAGCAUCUCCAUGCUGCUAAAAGAUAAUUUUCAGAAAUUUACAGUCUAAGAUACUUCAUAGGUUUCUGACUUUUAUCAGUCAAGUUGAAGAAAGAAGACAUAGCAUUUGCUAGAAAUUGGAUUUCCACUUCUGGUCCCAACCUGUUGAAGCAUGGCACAAUAAUUAAUUCCUUUACUAUUGUUAAGCAGACACAUGGAAAAGACACACUGGAUUUUGAUUCCAAGUUUAACAAUGGCUUGCCUUGAAAUAUCGAUUACCUAGACAUUUUACAACACAUGAAUUUUUUCCUUUUUUUUUCGAGUUGAGGGAUUGGGAGAGUGGGACUCGAACCUGAGUCUUGUCAGGUGUGUGCAUGGCUUCAGCGACUAGACCAAGCCAAGCUAGGCAACAUGUAAAUAUUUUUAAGAAAAAGCAAUGAAUGUGCUAAUUUCAAAACCUGAUAAAUAUUCUCUUCAAGAAUAAUAGUUAAACGAGAAAGAAAAUUUGGAAAAAGAAAAAAAAAUACCUCCAAUCUGACCAAUCACUUCAUCUUUUUCCCAUCAAAAUUAAUAAUGUCAUCAAGGCCUUGACAGUGAAUUGUGUUUAUCUCUUGUCCCCUCAGUUCUAUUCCAUCAUCAUCCAGUAAUGCUAUCCCUGAUGAUGCUAUGAUAAAAGGGAAAGCCAUGGG
rnacentral:misc_RNA from 1 species